rnacentral:rRNA from 1 species
AUUAAACGCUGGCGGCAUGCCUUACACAUGCAAGUCGAACGGCAGCACGGGGGCAACCCUGGUGGCGAGUGGCGGACGGGUGAGUAAAGCAUCGGAACGUAUCCUGGAGUGGGGGAUAACGUAGCGAAAGUUACGCUAAUACCGCAUAUUCUGUGAGCAGGAAAGCAGGGGAUCGCAAGACCUUGCGCUCUGGGAGCGGCCGAUGUCGGAUUAGCUAGUUGGUGGGGUAAAGGCCUACCAAGGCGACGAUCCGUAGCGGGUCUGAGAGGAUGAUCCGCCACACUGGGACUGAGACACGGCCCAGACUCCUACGGGAGGCAGCAGUGGGGAAUUUUGGACAAUGGGGGCAACCCUGAUCCAGCCAUGCCGCGUGAGUGAAGAAGGCCUCGGUUGUAA